AUAUUGUAUAAUUCUGUUUACACUCAUGUGGUGCAUAACAACCAGUCAACGAUGAACUGCAUAUAGAUAAUGGUCUCAUAAGAUUAUAAUGGAACAGCUGGGUGUGGUGGCUCAUGCCUAUAAUCCCAGCACUUUGGGAGGCCAAAGCGAGUGGAUAGCUUGAGAUUUUUGGAAUGUUUGAAGACAAACAUUGCCGUGGAGAUCACCUGGUAGCUUUCUGAGCAGGAGGCUGUGGACUGAGGGGAGCCAUCCACUCUGCCGAGAGCUUGAGAAAAUGAAGACUGAAAACAGAGCACUGGAGGUCGUUCAUACGCAAAAAUGCUUUCCCCUCGGAAUUGUCUCCAGCUCCUUCACCUCUUGGUUGUAGGUACAGACAGCAGAGACAAGAAGAGCCUUGAAGAGGCAGCCACACAUUGUGGUGAGGAGCACACAGCCUCUUGCUAGGAUAGGAAUAUGCUACCUAUGCUUUGGUUCCCAAUAUCCUUGCCAAUAAAACCUUUGUCUCUGAUCCUCUUAGCUGUAACAGCAUGCUGGACUAAUAGGUUCAGGGAGUAGUCUGCUGUGACAAAUACUUGUUGCGCACCUACUAUGUGCCAGGGUGUAUUCCAGAUGCUGUGGAUUUGUGAUCUGGUUUGAUAAUAAAUUUUAUUUUAAUGAAUUGUAUUUUUAAAAUUGUAUAUAUCUGAGGUGUACAGGAUAUUUUGAUAUACUUAUCUUACUACACAUAGACAUAGUGAACUAAUUACUACAGUUAAG
rnacentral:lncRNA from 1 species